UUCCGUAGGUGAACCUGCGGAAGGAUCAUUAAUGAAACUUCAAGUCGGCCUUGCUGUUGCUGGUGGUCAAACACAUGUGCACGCUCGGUCGCAAAUCCACACACACCUGUGCAUCUAUGACUCGAGGUUGUAAUGACUGAGAGUAAAUUUUACACACUCUGAAUGUAAUGGAAUGUCUAUUUGUGCUAUAAUGUACAAUAAAAACAACUUUCAACAACGGAUCUCUUGGCUCUCGCAUCGAUGAAGAACGCAGCGAAAUGCGAUAAGUAAUGUGAAUUGCAGAAUUCAGUGAAUCAUCGAAUCUUUGAACGCACCUUGCACCCUUUGGUAUUCCGAAGGGUACGCCCGUUUGAGUGUCAUUGUAAUCUCACUUCUACAACUUUGUUGUUUGUGGAAUGUGGACUUGGAUGUUGCCGUGUCAUUAUGGCUCGUCUUAAAUGCCUGAGUGUACCCUGCUUUUGCGGCGUAUCCGGUGUAAUAAACAUUUCACCAGAGUUUGGUCGCAAGACCGCGCUUUUGCUAAUGUAGGCUCUAUGCUUUCAAACCGUCUCUUUGGAGACAAUCUUUGACAAUUUGACCUCAAAUCGGGUGGGACUACCCGCUGAACUUAAGCAUAUCAAU
rnacentral:rRNA from 1 species